AACGCAAAUUGCGCCUUUUGGUAUUCCGAAAGGCAUGCCUGUUUGAGUGUCUUAUAAACCUCUCUCUACUAUUUACUUAGUGGUGAGCUUUGGGUGUUGCCAGCGAUGGCUCGCCUUAAAUGUCUAAGUGGAAUGCAUAAUAAGUUCUUGCAACCCUCCACUCUAACACACUUUAUAUUCUGACCUCAAAUCAGGUAGGACUACCCGCUGAACUUAA
rnacentral:misc_RNA from 1 species